AGAUCAGCGGUCUCAAAGAUCUGUGGACUUCUAGAAGCUUCUGACAUAUUUUCAAGAGUGACAGAAUUUCUCUGAUUUAGGUCAUAGUCCUACUUUUUUUGAAUACUGUGCACCUUGAAGGAGGGGAAGACCAAAAUUGCCAUCUUUAUAAUAGGGAGGUCCUGAUCAGUUGUGGAUAUCAUUUCUAAGAGUUAUUUCCUGGGGAAAGCAGAGUGGGCUGCUGAUUCAUUCACCUUG